rnacentral:rRNA from 1 species
UACGAAGGGGGCUAGCGGUGCUCGGAAUCACUGGGCGUAAAGGGUGCGUAGGCGGGGCUUUAAGUCAGGGGGGAAAUCCUGGAGCUCAACUCCAGAACUGCCUUUGAUACUGAGGAUCUUGAGUUCGGGAGAGGUGAGUGGAACUGCGAGUGUAGAGGUGAAAUUCGUAGAUAUUCGCAAGAACACCAGUGGCGAAGGCGGCUCACUGGCCCGAUACUGACGCUGAGGCACGAAAGCGUGGGGAGCAAACAGG